GAUGAACGCUAGCGACAGGCUUAACACAUGCAAGUCGAGGGGCAUCAAGGAUUGUAGCAAUACAAUUUGUUGGCGACCGGCGCACGGGUAAGUAACGCGUAUGCAACUUACCUAUCAGAGGAGAAUAACCCGGCGAAAGUCGGACUAAUACUCCAUAAAACAGGGGCCCCGCAUGGGGAUAUUUGUUAAAGAUUCAUCGCUGAUAGAUAGGCAUGCGUUCCAUUAGCUUGUUGGUGAGGUAACGGCUCACCAAGGCUUCGAUGGAUCGGGGUUCGGAGAGGAAGGGCCCCCACAUUGGUACUGAGACACGGACCAGGCUCCUACGGGAGGCAGCAGUGAGGAAUAUUGGUCAAUGGGCGAGAGCCUGAACCAGCCAAGUCGCGUGAAGGAUGAAGGAUCUAUGGUUCGUAAACUUCUUUUAUAGGGGAAUAAAGUUCGGUACGUGUACCGUUUUGUAUGUACCCAUUUGAAUAAGCAUCGGCUAACUCCGUGCCAGCCGCCGCGGUAACAC
rnacentral:rRNA from 1 species